AUUUAAAUAGUUUAAAAAAAAAUACUGAUUUGUGGUGUCAGUGAUAAGAGUUUAUCUUUUUAAAUC
rnacentral:tRNA from 1 species